UUGCUCCUACGGGGGGCAGCAGUGAGGAAUAUUGGCCAAUGGGCGAGAGCCUGAACCAGCCACGUCGCGUGAAGGAUGACGGCCCUACGGGUUGUAAACUUCUUUUGUCAGGGAGCAAUUGAGUCCACGUGUGGGCUUAGCGAGAGUACCUGAAGAAAAAGCAUCGGCUAACUCCGUGCCAGCAGCCGCGGUAAUACGGAGGAUGCGAGCGUUAUCCGGAUUUAUUGGGUUUAAAGGGUGCGUAGGCGGUCCGGAAAGUCAGCGGUAAAAGCCCGGGGCUCAACCCCGGCGAGCCGUUGAAACUG
rnacentral:rRNA from 1 species